rnacentral:lncRNA from 1 species
CCUUUCUUUGCUGGGAAGCUUUUGGUUAAUCCUCCAUUGAUUAGUAUGGAGUAGCUUGCCGUAGAUACACAUUCCAGGAUUAGGGUCACCAUUUUGUAGGGUAGGCCCAAUUCCACCAUUACUGCCCAAUUCCCCUAUGGUGGAAUAGGAUAUCCCUUAAUUUCUGUGCUCCAAAUUGUCUGGACAGAUGUUCUGUAUUCUGGU